rnacentral:rRNA from 1 species
AUGCACGCUAGCUACAGGCUUAACACAUGCAAGUCGCGGUGCAGCAUGGUCUUAGCUUGCUAAGGCCGAUGGCGACCGGCGCACGGGUGAGUAACACGUAUCCAACCUGCCGUCUACUCUUGGACAGCCUUCUGAAAGGAAGAUUAAUACAAGAUGGCAUCAUGAGUCCGCAUGUUCACAUGAUUAAAGGUAUUCCGGUAGACGAUGGGGAUGCGUUCCAUUAGAUAGUAGGCGGGGUAACGGCCCACCUAGUCUUCGAUGGAUAGGGGUUCUGAGAGGAAGGUCCCACACAUUGGAACUGAGACACGGUCCAAACUCCUACGGGAGGCAGCAGUGAGGAAUAUUGGUCAAUGGGCGAGAGCCUGAACCAGCCAAGUAGCGUGAAGGAGGACUGCCCUAUGGGUUGUAAACUUCUUUUAUAAAGGAAUAAAGUCGGGUAUGGAUACCCGUUUGCAUGUACUUUAUGAAUAAGGAUCGGCUAACUCCGUG